rnacentral:rRNA from 1 species
UACGAAGGGGGCUAGCGUUGCUCGGAAUUACUGGGCGUAAAGCGCACGUAGGCGGCUUUCUAAGUCGGGGGUGAAAUCCUGGAGCUCAACUCCAGAACUGCCUUCGAUACUGGAGAGCUUGAGUCCGGGAGAGGUGAGUGGAACUGCGAGUGUAGAGGUGAAAUUCGUAGAUAUUCGCAAGAACACCAGUGGCGAAGGCGGCUCACUGGCCCGGUACUGACGCUGAGGCACGAAAGCGUGGGGAGCGAACAGG